UGCCUUAGAGGAGAGUUGCAUCAAGUAAGAGAGAAUCACGAUCUCCAACUAGCACAGGUGCAGACCUUAAAGGCUGAAAUAGAUAGAUACACCGAAUAUACUGGAGAAUCCUCUAUAGAGUUUGAAAAGUUUAACUGCAAUAACAAAUUUACUUUGAGAGUUUUGCAACUAGUCUUGGAUUUCUGUUAUUUUUAGGGAAAGAGGAAGAUGAUCUAUGUUUCUACUUCGUUAAACUACAUAUUAUGAAGGUUAGGCUGUUGCUAGUUUUUUCAAGAUCCUUCCACACGAUUGUAGAGAAUGGACAGUCAUGAUUGCAGUUUUGAAGUUUUUCGCGCUCUGUAGCACAAUCAGUCUGAGCAUUUGUUUUGGUUUCAACUUCACCAAUCCAGCUUUCUAAUAAUUCUUGCUUCUGUUACUGCAGCCAUGAAGUUCUUUCUUUUGCAGGCAGUUGUCAGGCAGUGACUUGAAAAAGGUCACUCUUUUUGGUUGCCCAUUCAUCAAAAGAACUGUUUUUGCAGCUAGAAGUUUGUUCUUUUUUCUGCAUUCCGGAAGAUAUUCACUACAUCAAAAUUGCUGAUCAGGAACGGCUAUCUUUUUGGUGUAGAAAGGGUUUUAAACCGUUUCUAAUGAAAAAUGGUUUUAAACCAUUUCUAAUCGUGAGUGUAGCACGGAAAUUAACUGCAUACUACCCCUGCCUUUUGUGGGGCACACCAUGAUAUAAGGAUUUUAUCCAUGCCGUUAAACCUUUUUCUUUUUGCAUUUCCUUUCAUUGCCAAUCCUGUGACACGAUGUCUUUCUCAGGUGAUGUAGCUAACUAUUGUUCGUUGCUCACAACUAUCGCAGUCGAGAAAGUGUGAAGAUUUUAGCAAGGCACUACCCUUUUCGCAUAUUACAAUUAUGGAUUUGUAUAAGUUGGGUUCAGGUAUUUGGGAUGAACUCAUCGUUCUCGUGGCAUAGAUAUGACUUAAGUUCUUUCAAUUUAGUGCAACAUUCAGAUACCUAUGAAGGUUGCAGAUCUCCUCUGCCAGUAAUUGCUCUGAUGCACGUGCUGUUAUGUGUCGGUAGUAUUUUUGUAGACUGGUCGGGAAGUAUUGGUAGUGUACAUACAUAUAUGUUCUCGAAUCUACUAAAGUUCCAAUGGACUCUAU